UAGGGAAUAUUGCACAAUGGGGGAAACCCUGAUGCAGCGACGCCGCGUGAAGGAAGAAGUAUCUCGGUAUGUAAACUUCUAUCAGCAGGGAAGACAAUGACGGUACCUGACUAAGAAGCCCCGGCUAACUACGUGCCAGCAGCCGCGGUAAUACGUAGGGGGCAAAGCGUUAUCCGGAUUUACUGGGUGUAAAAGGGAGCGUAGACGGAUCUGCAAGUCUGGAGUGAAAAGCCCGGGGCUCAACCCCGGACUGCUUUGGAAAACUGUGGAUCUAGAGUGCCGGAGAGGUAAGCGGAAUUCCUAGUGUAGCGGUGAAAAUGCGUAGAUAUUAGGAGGAACACCAGUGGCGAAGGCGGCUUACUGGACGGUAAACUGACGUUGAGGCUCGAAAAGCGUGGGGAGCAAAACAAGGAUUAGAUACC
rnacentral:rRNA from 1 species